UAAACGCGAAGAACCUUACCAGGUCUUGACAUCCCUUGACAACUCCAGAGAUGAGAGCGUUCCCUUCGGGGACAAGGUAGACAGGUGGUGCAUGGUUGUCGUCAGCUCGUGUCGUGAGAUGUUGGGUUAAGUCCCGCAACGAGCGCAACCCUUAUUACUAGUUGCCAGCAUUUAGUUGGGCACUCUAGUGAGACUGCCGGUGACAAACCGGAGGAAGGUGGGGAUGACGUCAAAUCAUCAUGCCCCUUAUGACCUGGGCUACACACGUGCUACAAUGGCGUAUACAACGAGUUGCCAACCCGCGAGGGUGAGCUAAUCUCUUAAAGUACGUCUCAGUUCGGAUUGUAGGCUGCAACUCGCCUACAUGAAGUCGGAAUCGCUAGUAAUCGCGGAUCAGCACGCCGCGGUGAAUACGUUCCCGGGUCUUGUACACACCGAGAAAAC
rnacentral:rRNA from 1 species